AUUAUUGGACAAUGGGGGCAACCCUGAUCCAGCCAUGCAUCGUGUGUGAAGAAGGUCUUCUGAUUGUAAAGCACUUUAAGUUGGGAGGAUGGGCUUUAGGUUAAUACCCUGAAGAUCUGACGUCACGAACAGAUUAAGCUCCGGCUAAACAUGUGCCCGCAGCCGCGGUAAUACAGAGGGUUCAAGCGUUAAUCGGAAUUACUGGGAGUAAAGCGCGCGUAGGUGGUUCAGUAAGAUGGGUGUGAAAUCCCCGGGCUUAACCUGGGAACUGCUUUCAUAACUGCUGAGCUAGAGUACGGUAGAGGGUAGUGGAAUUUCCUGUGUAGCGGUGAAAUGCGUAGAUAUAGGAAGGAACACCAGUGGCGAAGGCGACUACCUGGACUGAUACUGACACUGAGGUGCGAAAGCGUGGGGAGCAAA
rnacentral:rRNA from 1 species